UUUCACUACAGCAGGCAAAAGGUGUGCCUCUUCAUCCAGCAUAUGGUUUUCUGUCACAAAAAAAACAAAAAAAAAAAACUGAUCAGGCUACGGGAGGUUGAUUUGCCUGAGGUUCAUUUUCUCACACAACACAACGGCCUGCAUGUUUCCAAUAAAGGUCAAAAUCAGAUUGCAAGAUUUUGUUAGAAGUUAGGUGGGAAUUUGCAUUUACCUAGGACAGGUUGCCUUGCUAUGAGUAUAGCACACGCAAUCAACAUUUAGCACACGCAAUCAACAUUUCUCACUGUACCACGCUUUUCAGGGGUGAGGUUGGUCUCAAAGUCCCUGGAUCAAACCUGUGAAAUGAGGCUGGUUUUCACUACAGCAGGUAAAAGGUGUGCCUCUUCAUCCAGCAUAUGGUUUUCU
ensembl:lncRNA